GCCAGACUCCUACGGGAGGCAGCAGUGGGGAAUAUUGCACAAUGGGGGGAACCCUGAUGCAGCGACGCCGCGUGAGGGAAGAAGUAUCUCGGUAUGUAAACUUCUAUCAGCAGGGAAGAAAGAGGACGGUACCUGACUAAGAAGCCCCGGCUAACUACGUGCCAGCAGCCGCGGUAAUACGUAGGGGGCAAGCGUUAUCCGGAUUUACUGGGUGUAAAGGGAGCGUAGACGGCAAUACAAGUCGGAAGUGAAAUACCCGGGCUCAACCUGGGAACUGCUUUGGAAACUGUAUGGCUGGAGUGCUGGAGAGGUAAGCGGAAUUCCUAGUGUAGCGGUGAAAUGCGUAGAUAUUAGGAGGAACACCAGUGGCGAAGGCGGCUUACUGGACAGUAACUGACGUUGAGGCUCGAAAGCGUGGGGAGCAAACAGGAUUAGAUACCCCCGUA
rnacentral:rRNA from 1 species